UCGAGAAUCUUCUGCAAUGGGCGCAAGCCUGACAGAGCGACGCCGCGUGGAGGACGAAGGCCCUCGGGUUGUAAACUCCUGUCACAUGUUAUGAACCGCACGGGUCCACCCGUGUCUGACAAAAGCAUGAGAGGAAGUCACGGCUAACUUCGUGCCAGCAGCCGCGGUAAGACGAAGGUGGCGAGCGUUAUUCGGAUUUACUGGGCAUAAAGCGCGCGUAGGCGGCUCGACAAGUCGGAGGUGAAAGCCUGCAGCUCAACUGCGGUGUGCCUUCGAAACUGUCGGGCUUGAGUGCAGGAGGGGUGAUUGGAACUCCAGGUGUAGCGGUGAAAUGCGUAGAUAUCUGGAGGAACACCAGAGGCGAAGGCGAAUCACUGGACUGCAACUGACGCUGAGGCGCGAAAGCUAGGGGAGCAAACAGGAUUAGAUACCCCCGUAGUCC
rnacentral:rRNA from 1 species